GAUGAACGCUGGCGGCGUGCCUAAUACAUGCAAGUCGAGCGAACAGAUGAGGAACUUGCUCCUCUGACGUUAGCGGCGGACGGGUGAGUAACACGUGGAUAACCUACCUAUAAGACUGGGAUAACUUCGGGAAACCGGAGCUAAUACCGGAUAAUAUAUUUAACCGCAUGGUUCAAUAUUGAAAGACGGUUUUGCUUUCACUUAUAGUGGGAUCCCCUCCGAAUUACCUAGUUGGUAAGGUAACGCCUUACCAAGGCAACAAUCAGUACCGGACCUGAAGGGGUGACGGGCAACAUUGGAACUGGGACACGGCCCAGACUCCAACGGGGGGCAGCAGUGGGGAAUCUUCCCCAAUGGGGGAAAGCCUGACGAGGCAAGCCCGCGGGAGGGAUGAAGGUCUCCGGAUCGUAAAACUCUGUUAUUAGGGAAGAACAAAUGUGUAAGUAACUAUGCACGUCUUGACGGUACCUAAUCAGAAAGCCACGGCUAACUACGUG
rnacentral:rRNA from 1 species